CAAUUAGAAACUCUACUCCAUCUCCUUCUACCCCUUGCAAUUUGCAAACCCUAACCCCAAAAUCAAUUUGUCCUUAUAGUUGUUGGCGAAUACCCAAUUCCGAUUUUUGUUCAAUCUCCGAUACCCACUUGUAAUCUUGACUAAAGAUUCAAUCUUUGGGGAUCAAUUUUUUCUCUGAGAAAAGAAGACGAAUAAAGGAAUUAGGGUUUAGGAGUUAGCGGAGGAGGAAGAUGGUGAUCACGAUUGAAGAUUUGAGGAAAAAUGAGACCUGGCUUUGUGGGUCUUUCUUGAAAAUGGUUGAUGAUGUGAAAGCCAUGGCCACCGACCCAUCUGAGCAACAAGUGCUUCUGACCCAGAUGGUUUUGAAGGAGUUGAUGAUGAAUAGGAACAAACCAGAAGCAGCAUUCUCACUUGGUUUUCCCAAAAAGAAGAGAUCUGGAUCUAGAGGGAUGCAAAAGCAGAAUCAGAAUCAGAAGCAGAGGAUCAUCAUCAAAUUCAAACGCUGCGUCUCUGCCACUACAGGUAUUGCUUCUUAUUCUUGCUCUGUUUCCCCUGAUUCUGGUAUUGUUGGAUCUAGAGGGAUGCAAAAGCAGAAUCAGAAUCAGAAGCAGAGGAUCAUCAUCAAAUUCAAACGCUGCGUCUCUGCCACUACAGAAACAGGAUUUGAAAUUGAAAUUGAAAUUGAAGAGCAAGAAGAGGUGCUACUCUGAAAUCGAACAAGCAGGCGAUGAAGGUUUCGAAGACAUAAACUCAAAAAGGCUGAGAAAGGGAAAGAAUCAUAAGAGGGUGUUACCAAGUGCGCAAUCGAUGACUGAGUAUUUUCCAAAGGAAGAGUUGCAGGAUCGUUUUCGUGGAUCAGAUCACCCAAAGCCAAGAGCAAGAGCAAUAGCAAUAGCAGGGAAGAGGAAUGAGAUCAAGAUCAGUAUGACCAGCUUUGCUUUGUCCUUGUUAAUCUGCUUUCUGUGAGUGUUCUUUGAGUUUUUGAUUUACACUUGAAUCAAUUUGUGUAGUCUUUGAUCAAUAUAUAUGUACUAGUUAUCAAGUCUUAAAAUUUCUUGUUCAUUAACUCUCUACUCUACUCCAUUUUCUCAGUCUUGCAGUUUAUGUUCAACAGUAAUUCAGUGAACAACUUUCAUUUUUCCGGUAUGGUUUUUGUAAUUUUAAUACUUUCUCUAUUUCCCCAAAGCUCAGAUAUCGCAUAUCUUCAUUCUCUUUCUCUCAGAUCAUUCAGUAUGCUCUUUGAGUUUGGGGGAAGCAUCCAAUUUCUUCUUAUGUUUACCUGGUAUGUUAGCUUACAUGUGCUCUUUUAGUUUUAGACUGGGCUUAUUAAUGCUUUUAAUCAUUUAUCUUUGUUCAUUCUCUUCUUAAUGGUGACAACUCAUAUAUAAGAAUUAGCUAUGCUUCUGAUUUUUACCCAACUGGCAUGGUGUUCUGCUUGUGUACUCUAGGUUGAAUUACUUGCACUAGGCUAUGUUUAGGAUGAAGGAUGUCUAGUUUCAACAUCUUCGUUUCUUUUGUCCGGAGAACUGAAGGAAUGUUGGUUUAAUUCACCGCGGCAAUUUGAGAUAUGGCUCAUUAAUUUUGGUGCUGAUUAAUGGAAUGUGCUUUAGUUUGAGCUGCAUCUGUCCUUGUUUUUGAAAGGAUUUGAUGUCUUAGUAUGCAAUUUGAGCUUUGUUUUUCAAAUCAGGUUGGUUUAUGAAUUAUUUCCAUUUAUUUUCAUGAAGAUGAGUACUCUCACAUUUGGGUUCCAAAUCUUCUUUACUGCAUAAAACUUCGUAGAAGUAGGGAUGCAAAAUUCCUCACCGAACAGAUGAUGAUAUCAGCUAUUCUCCUCCCUGUCGAAUUGUGCGUAUGUAAGUAGCUCUAUAAAUCAUAUUGAAGUUUUUGGAAAAUAUGCAUGAAUGAUAAAGUGGUAGUUUCAUUUUGUAUGCAGCACCUUGGCAAGAUUCUGGUUUCUUAAAAGAACCAAUAGCUCAUGUACACAGAAGAUGAUACAAAAGUCUAGUUUUCCAGUGUCAACUGUUCUGGAACUAUCAAGAUCAAGAUCAUUAUGAAUAACUUUGCUUUCCCUUGUUAAGCUUGUAUUGAGUCUUUGAUUUACAAUUAAGUCAAGUCUAUUAUGUCCGUCUUGUUAGCUAGCUUCAGCAUUAUCAAUGAUGAUAUGUACAUAAGAGUUGUCUACUCCAUUGUCUUCAUCUUGUACGUUCUGUUAGAUAGUAAUUCGAUGAACCGACAUUCACUUUUCCAAUAUGGUUUCGUUUAAUAUUGAAUAUUUUUGUAUUUGCAAAAAAUCAUAUAUAUGCAGUUUGUGCUGCAUCC